rnacentral:rRNA from 1 species
UGCAAGUCGAGCGGAUGACGGGAGCUUGCUCCUUGAUUCAGCGGCGGACGGGUGAGUAAUGCCUAGGAAUCUGCCUGGUAGUGGGGGACAACGUUUCGAAAGGAACGCUAAUACCGCAUACGUCCUACGGGAGAAAGCAGGGGACCUUCGGGCCUUGCGCUAUCAGAUGAGCCUAGGUCGGAUUAGCUAGUUGGUGAGGUAAUGGCUCACCAAGGCGACGAUCCGUAACUGGUCUGAGAGGAUGAUCAGUCACACUGGAACUGAGACACGGUCCAGACUCCUACGGGAGGCAGCAGUGGGGAAUAUUGGACAAUGGGCGAAAGCCUGAUCCAGCCAUGCCGCGUGUGUGAAGAAGGUCUUCGGAUUGUAAAGCACUUUAAGUUGGGAGGAAGGGCAGUAAGCUAAUACCUUGCUGUUUUGACGUUACCGACAGAAUAAGCACCGGCUAACUCUGUGCCAGCAGCCGCGGUAAUACAGAGGGUGCAAGCGUUAAUCGGAAUUACUGGGCGUAAAGCGCGCGUAGGUGGUUUGUUAAGUUGGAUGU